UAAUCUCUAAAAGUGUUUUCCGCGUUGGACCGCACACAAGUCUGUUGGAAUACAGCGGCAUAGUGGUGAGACCCCCGUAUAUGGUGCGGACGCCCAACGCUUUGUGAUACACUUUCGAAGAGUCGAGUUGUUUGGGAAUGCAGCUCAAAUUGGGUGGUAAAUUCCAUCUAAAGCUAAAUAUUGGCGAGAGACCGAUAGCGAACAAGUACCGUGAGGGAAAGAUGAAAAGCACUUUGGAAAGAGAGUUAACAGUACGUGAAAUUGUUGGAAGGGAAACGCUUGAAGUCAGACUUGCUUGCCGAGCAAUCGGUUUGCAGGCCAGCAUCAGUUUUCCGGGGUGGAUAAUGGUAGAGAGAAGGUAGCAGUUUCGGCUGUGUUAUAGCUCUUUGCUGGAUACACCUUGGGGGACUGAGGAACGCAGUGUGCCUUACGGCGGAUUUCUCGAGAUCUUCACACUUAGGAUGCUGGUGGAAUGGCUUUAAACGACCC
rnacentral:rRNA from 1 species